AGGAAUUCACUGCAAAUGUCAAAACAAAUCAGUCAAAACCGCAAUUUUGUUUACCACAUUCGUCUCGCACCAAUUGAACCCAGCGCCGACUGCCACCAAUCUGUUUUCUGGUUUGCAGGUCAGCUCGAAAAUACACACCAAAGUGCGGAGCGUAACGCAGGCGCGGAUACGGAUACAGAGCAGCAAUUAAACAAACAAUACAAUCACUUCACAGCUGCGUGAUAUUGUAAUGCUGUAUGAAAAUUUGUAGGCAAUCUGCCAAACGCCAACCACAAUAUACUACACACUAUUUUCGAAGAACGGUAAGCGCUGUAUAUGUAUGGUAAGGAAAAAAAUAAAAAUAAAAACAGAGGGAAACCCUGACGGAGAAAAAACUAGUAGGCAGCAGCAGUCAGCCGUCAGAAGCCAGGAGAAUUUAAUAGCGCAAAAAUAAAACGCGCGAAAAUUGUAAACAGUACGAGCUGCAGUGAUUAAUCGACAACUCAUUGCGAAAAGCUCUGUUGUGAUCUGUUGGUAAACAAAGUCUCGGCGUAGACUGCAGCUGAUAACAAGCGACAUCGAGGAGCAACAAUGCGAUUGACCUGAAUCGCUGGCUGGCAGCCGAGCUGAGCUCAUAGACACGUUCGAUACGAGGAGCAGAGUACAAACCCAAGACGUUGCUCUUGUCUUAGAUGAACGAGCAACAUGAAUUGCUUAACGAAUGGCGCCUACAAGCCGGACUGACGAUAGCGUGGUAUGCUAAUUUUAGACAACGCCACACGAGUAAACAACUUCGGACCGCAUCCUUCAACCACUUUUCAAAGCUCAUACAUACUCGUACAUACGCGAUCUGCUCCGCAAAUGCAGUGGAAUGCAAUAAUCUUUACAAAUGCUAAAGCUAUCAGCUAGAUAUAUACAUGUACAUAUUGAGCAUACCAUAUUUUACACAUAAACAACAACAAAUGUGUCCUAUUGAAUUUCGCGGACUUUGAACGGAGCAGCCUUCAUUCACUCGGGCGCAUACGUAACCAACAGCGCCACCAGCAUAGACUCGCGCAGACGCUUUUAAUGUUGACAACGUGGCGUGUGCAUACAUGCAUAUACAGUUACGUUUACGACUUAUUAUGCUGAUCCAUUAAAUCCAUUACAUAUGCGGCGCGUGCCUGCAUGGUGAACUCACAUCCGCCGCGCACUUCCGCACCUACCGUAAUUUAUACGAUGGCGUCAAUGAUCAAUGAUGCCUAAGGGUUGUGGUUGUAUGUCAGAAAACCACAGAAAAUAAAUUGAAUUAUUUCAUUUGAAUUAAGUGCCGGUGCGAUCGUAUCAACAUUGAUGAAACAGAACCGUGUAUAGUUCGUUCUUUAUAGCAUUAUUAAUAUUUGCAACACUUGCCGGGUUCAUCGCACCGCUACUGUAAGUUUUAAAAUAUUGUCUAUGCUUGUUUGCAUUUGCACACUUUCGGGGUCUAAAAAUUGGCGGAAUCCGAAUGAUAGUUGAAUGAUAAUUAAUAGGUUGAGUUGAAAUUGGUAUAGUGGUCUAUUGGCGGCAGCGUGAGUUUACUUUUCCCUUGCUAGGCGAAACCUUAGCCAAAUUAUCUAACUUGAUAUUAACAAACGCUUAGACUUAUCAUAUUAUAGAUUUUCAUAACGAUAUAACGAGUUAUGUGAUCUACGACUUCAAUAGCAACUAUUUAUAAUCUUUAAUAGCAACUAUAUAUGUAUAUAGAUAUAUCUGGUAAAGUUCCCUCAACAAGCAACGAUAAAAAUAUUUCGAGUUUAUAAAAAUUAUCAUGACCUGACUAGUAUUUUCAUAUUUAUCAGAGGCGGUGUUAACAGCUGUUCAAAUCAUCACAGUUACUUACAGAGUAUAGCUGGAAGAGUAUAACGUUUUAAUCACAACAGUAGUGCCCAAAUUGUUCUGGUACCAUAAAAAAGGAGCAUGCGAAUUUCCAAUGCCACCGUUUCACUGAAGAAAGAAAAGUAACCGAAGCUACACUCGGUUUCACAUAGCACACUGAAAUGAAAUUUUUGGUAGGAUUUCAAUCUGAUCGUUCCUGACUUACUGGUUGCUAAACAUCAAUAAUACCACUAACAAAGUUUGGUAGAUGAUUUACGCUCUUAACCUCCAAUGAGAAGCUAUAUUUUUUUUUGUCAAACCAGCGACAUCUAAUGGACAUGAGGUCACGGUAUUCCAAGGACGCCAGCUACAACAAAAAUGGCUAAAAGUGAAAUAAAUGAAACUCCUAUACAUAUGCGUAGUGAAUAUAUGGUACAGACUGUACAACGGAAGAAAAAUUAACCGACGGCAAACGGCGUACGACUGAGUAUACUUACUUCCGACGGCUUUUGAAAAUCAACUAUACAAUAGGUUAAACCGUUAGAAAUAAAAGUAGGACAAUCACCUUAGUAAUGAAAAUAUAUUAUAUAUUGUACAAGGCGCAAUGUGUACAUAUAGUAUAUAUGCCAGAGCAUUGACUGUGAUACAAAAUAAAGGCAAUCGCUUUAGAUUGCCACUCAAGGACUUUAUUAUUUGUAUAGCAAACGUAUUUUCAAUGCGCAAAGCUCUUACUUAAUUGCAUCGUUUUCAGCAAAAAAAAGUACACAUGUGCGUAUAUAUACAUAUGUACAUAAGUAACCGAUCAUUGACCCAAACGAAUUUAAACUAAUAAUCAUACAGACAUUUAACAGUUUAAGAAUAGACAAAUAUAUAUGUACAUACAUAUGUAUGUAUAUAAAAGAAUUUAUAGAAAAUUAUUCAAUGAAAAUAUUAUUCGAUUAUGUAUACGGUACCCACCCGACUCUUUUAGCAAGUAACAAAACUUUUCUUUUCUCGCAGAAGAAAGUCUGGUUUAUGAAAGAUUGCAUCAAUUGAAAGUUCGGGGAAUUAAAUUAUUCUAACACUUUUUUCUUUAAAUACUGACUAGCAGGAAUAUCGAAGGUGGACAUCAUGGGACAAUUGAUUUUAAAAGAGGUUUUAUAAUUAUUUAUCUUUAAAAGUUUAAGAAAUAUGGAAUGCCAGCUUCCACUUCCGGAUUUGACGUGAGUUUUAAUUCGAUAAAAAUAUUUGAAGUCAGGGUAUUCAAACCGACAUGACGGUUUAAAAUAUAAUAUAUUAGGUAUUAUCAAAGGAUUACCAUUUAAAAUAAAUAUCUAUGAUUUGUUGAUAUAUACAUAAAAUUAUAAAAAUAUACUAAGUAUGUCAUUCAAACAUUUCAUAAAAUGACAUCGAAAGUAAGAUUGUAGGGGUUAAAAACUGAAAGCUAAAAAAGUGUAAUGCUUCUUAAAACAAAAAAGUCGAGUCUACAGGUAUAUCUGACAUAAAUGUAAAUUAAGAUUUUAUAGGCGAAAUUUGGACACAUGAUUCAACGUGAAAGGGCCAUUCAUUCACACUCUUUAACAUGAAGCUUUUUUUUAUAAAAUUAUUCAGCAUUUCAAUUUCGUUUUUUUAAUACUACCAAAAAAAAGGAAUAAUACGUAUGCACUUUUUUCUGAUUGGACACCCCUCUGGAUAUGAAGUUUGUUUCUCUUGGUUUGGUAAUUCUGUGAAGAAACAUUAAUAAUUUCCGUGAUGCUAAUCAUAUCGAUCUUGAACUUCUGGAAAUAAAUAGUUUAGAUGUGUAUUUAUACAUAUAACAAAUAUAUUGUUAAUCAGUGUAUUUAUUACAUACAUAUUUAGAUGUUAUUGUUUUAAAAUGUUAUUGAUUUUUUUUGUCAUUCUUCCAAAUUUUGGUUCGCACUUGCGUAUGUAUGUACUUAAAUAUAUACAUAUUUAUGUAUGUACCAUAUGUGUUACUUAGCAUGUGAAUAGCAUGUGCUACAUUAGCAGAUAAAAACAUUGACGAACUUUUACUCGCUAAUAUGGUAAGUAAGAAAGGUCAAAGUUGGAGUGCAACCCAAUGCUAUGAACCACUACCACUUUAGAUAAACAAUUUCUUUCCAAAUAUUAUUAUUUCUUUUUGGAAAAUCAGUGAUGUGGUAACCACUGAGUAAUGAAAAUUUACAAGUUCAUUAUCUUCUUUAAAAUAUUUAAAAUUAUGACGUAGGGCAACAUUCUUUUUUUUUUCUAAAAAACGGAAUUCAUUAUCUUAGUGAUAUGCAGGCUAGAACAUGGUUUGGACCGUUUUAUUUCGUAUUUAACUACUGCGAUCAAGAAAACAUGUAUACAUAAUUUCAUUAAAGUAUCACACACAUUGACCGAUAUAUUCAGUAUAAAGACAACCGGGUAUUGAUGUAAGAGAUACUGAUUUCAUUUAUAGGUACUUUGGGUAUUAUUGAGAAGAUAUUUCCACUUAAUUUUUUUGGGGCCCCGGUUUUGCAGUCAUAAUUAUAUACAAUUCAUUGAAAAAUUACUCAUCAAUUUAUUUCAACAUGGUCGUUAACUAUAUAACCAGACGCUUCAUUUCAUUAGUAAUAGAGUAAUCAUUAUCUUGGCAACAUUUUCCCUUGUUAUGCGGUAGAAAAACAACUCAGUUGAUUCGUUUUCUCCUUUUAUGUUGAGACUUGCAAAAUUUUUGAGUUGAAUGAGCUCUUUACAUAAGGAGGCUCCUAAGUAUUUCAGUAUGUUUCCACAAUAUUCUCAUGUGUGUUAGCUUAACAAUAAAAUUAAAUCGCUCGUAAACCAAAUCGGAAGCGGGAUUUCUGUUUUCAAGUGCACUAAUCAAUGCGUCAAUGACUGGAAGAAAAGCUUCGAAAUUUGUCCCUAGUUGAAAGUUGCACUGCCGAUGCCUGAGAACCAAAACGUUAAAAGCGAAUUCCAGGGAAAAUUUUUAAAUUCCUUCUAAAUACUUUACGCCAACAUCCUAUCUUCUGUGUGAUUCGUGGAUUAAUUUUUAACCUUUAAGAUUAAUGCUAUACACAACUUUAGAAAAAACAAGUAAGAAAGUUCUAAGUUCGGGUGUAACUGAACAUUUUACACUAUCGCAACUUGCAAGGAUCAAAGCCCGGGAAAUUACUUCAGGUGUUGGCAAUAUUUUAUAUUAAAGGAAGUAUAGAUCCGAUUCAACCCAUUUUUGACACAAAGACAUGAAAGAAAAGGCAAGAGAGUUAUAUAUUUAUA